rnacentral:lncRNA from 1 species
GGAAUAGAAAGAUGUCUCAUAUUAUUCUCAACUGGUAAUAAGUUCUUGUGAAACAUGCUUAACAAUCAAACCGAAUGAGGGUGUCCCAAUCUACUAUGCCAAAGGUACCACAACUGUUCCGAAUUAAGUUUAACAACAUAACUAGAAGAAAAAGAAAUACCAAAACUACCGGAUCUCGUGGAAUGCUCGGUAUCGCCGGUUGACCGAGAUUGACUACCCAUAUCCAAAGCUUCCUAGUAAAUUUUUUGGCCAUAUCUACUCUCUUGUCCCAGUAUCUUCAUUGCCUGCGGAUCCUGAACCACACAACCAGAGGCACCAAAAACAAUUGUAGCCAGAUGCAAUUAAUUGACAAACAUAAACUAAAUUCGGAACAAGUUUGGGCACAUGAAAAGUAGCAGGCUAAGCGAGAGUAAAUGUUUCAACAGUCCCAAUGCCAGCAACAGGUAACUUUUGACCAUUAGCAACAUUAAUAAAGGGAUUUGUAAUAGGAGUAUAACUAAGAAACAAAUUGGCAUCACUUGUCAUAUGAUUGAUGCAUCAGAAUCAAGAAACCAAGGUUAAGCAGAACUUUUACAUGAAAGACCAAUAGUCGAGAAGGCUGAGGUAAUUGCUUGAGGGAGAACGCAUACGAGUUCUUCUUGAACCAGUUGAGCAAUAUUAAGGGAAGGAGUCGAGCUGUUCACCGAAGCAGAAUCUUGAUCAGUAUAACUGGUAGCACCAUAACUAGGAGAAAACUUUUCGCGAUGACCAGGAGCACGACAGUCAGAGAUAUUGUGACCGAUACGCUUACAGUAGUUGCAAAUGUUACGUUUCCUGCAGAUAAACUGCGGAUGACCAAACUCUUGACAAAAUGAGCACUUAAUUGGACCAGGAGAAGCAGUUGUUGAUUUGGGAUUAAUAUGUUGAGAAGAACCAAUUGAGACAGCCGGUUGGGCACCCGAUUUCGAGUAGAACUGGAGACUGGUACCGCUUCCACGACCAGUCGGCCGACCAACAUAAAAAACAGAGGCUGAACUCCCUUGCCCGUCGAGGAUUGCCUGAGUGUGAAACUAGGUUUCUGCCCGAAUCAGCUCGCUUAGUGUAUCCUGGAUAUCCAUCUUGUCUUCCGCAAUUAAUCGAGAGCGAACUUGCUCGUAUUCGGGACGAAGCCACAUCAAAAACUGAAAAUUAUGGCGACCUUGUCGUUCCUUAAUAAUAGUAGAAUCGGCCGCCGCAGUCAAUCGAGGAAAGGAAAUCAAGUUCCCCAUGGUACUAUUUUUUAUCCGCCUAGUGACGUAGCUAGACACUUAAGUGAAGCUUCUAUGAGAACAUGUCGAACAAGUACUCUUUUUCUGCUUCUCCUAACCGUAAAAUUCGGAGGAGGAAAUUAUAUUUCCCUACUAACCGAUUUAUAGCUGGACUCCAGCCUCUUACUUAAAUACAAUAUAUACAUGAAUUAGAAGUUUGCACGUGAUCCGCUACCGAUUUGUUCUGUUGCUACUAACCAAUGCAUCCGACAUUGUUAAGGUGGAGGGUUCCUAUUUGUUAUUUGUUCAAUUUUUUUGCUGGUUGGCUUACUUUCUAGUUUUCUUGUUGUUGUUGCUUUACUUCGUACCUAAACCACUAAAUUAUAUAGGAUUUUUAUUAUUUUUUUUCUU